rnacentral:rRNA from 1 species
UACGUAGGGUGCAAGCGUUAAUCGGAAUUACUGGGCGUAAAGCGUGCGCAGGCGGUUUUGUAAGUCUGACGUGAAAUCCCCGGGCUCAACCUGGGAAUUGCGUUGGAGACUGCAAGGCUAGAAUCUGGCAGAGGGGGGUAGAAUUCCACGUGUAGCAGUGAAAUGCGUAGAGAUGUGGAGGAACACCGAUGGCGAAGGCAGCCCCCUGGGUCAAGAUUGACG